rnacentral:rRNA from 1 species
CCCAGACUCCUACGGGAGGCAGCAGUGGGGAAUAUUGCACAAUGGGGGGAAACCCUGAUGCAGCAACGCCGCGUGAGUGAGGAAGUAUUUCGGUAUGUAAAGCUCUAUCAGCAGGGAAUAGAAAAGAAGGUACCUGAAAAAGAAGCCCCGGCUAACUACGUGCCAGCAGCCGCGGUAAUACGUAGGGGGCAAGCGUUAUCCGGAUUUACUGGGUGUAAAGGGAGCGUAGACGGCAUGGCAAGUCAGAUGUGAAAGCCCGGGGCUCAACCCCGGGACUGCAUUUGAAACUGUCAGGCUGGAGUGCAGGAGAGGUAAGUGGAAUUCCUAGUGUAGCGGUGAAAUGCGUAGAUAUUAGGAGGAACACCAGUGGCGAAGGCGGCUUACUGGACUGUAACUGACGUUGAGGCUCGAAAGCGUGGGGAGCAAACAGGAUUAGAUACCCCUGUAUCG